rnacentral:rRNA from 1 species
AUGGCGGGAAACAGUUCAAUCGCAAUGGCUUGAACCGGGUAAAAGUCGUAACAAGGUAUCUGUAGGUGAACCUGCAGAUGGAUCAUCGCUAAAACCACCACAAAACAAACUCAUCAUCAUUAUACGUGAUGUGAUGUGUGGAUGGUUAAUGGAGGAAUGAUCAACGAGAAACCAACAUGCGUCAAUAUGUAUGUGUGUAUAUACAUGUGUUGGCGGCUAUGUCGCUAAAGUUGGUAGUAUCGUAACACCAUUAAAGCUCAACAUACAAGGUGUCUACGUAUAAACAUGAGUCGUUCUAGAGUGACGGUUAUGAUUGUUUAUACGAGCGAAGGCAUACACAGAAAAUGUCGCGCAUGUAUGAAAUAAUGAUGCGAUUUGUUUCGUGAAUGUAUGAAGACUUAAUGAGCAUUGCAUGAAUGCCACCUUGGAUUGCUAUAGUUGUUGAUGUCGCUCGUUUUCAUUAUCGAUGUUGGUGUCGAUAUCGGAAUGACAUACGACAAAGACCACUAACUGUGGUUGAGAAUAGUUAUGUUGGUGAUUAUGCAUGAUAUAGAUAUGCGUUAUAUAUGGCGUGUGUUCUAUUCGUUGUCUUGUAUGGAUGGCGCAUAGUAUCGCGUAUCUAUGAUCAUGUGCCACCUGAUAUUAACAGGGAAUCUUAAUGACCGAGGCAUCAGAAUAUGUAAAUGGGCGCCAACAUAACAAAAAUAGAAUUCCUAAACGUGAGAAUGUGAAACAGAUCCAAUACAUAUGUGUAUAUGUAUGUAUGGAAUUUCAUAUACUAGCUUCAGCGAUGGAUCGGUCGAUUCGCGUAUCGAUGAAAAACGCAGCUAGCUGUGUUAUUUACCACGAAUUGCAGACGCUUAGAGUGGUGAAAUUUUGAACGCAUAGCGUCGUUGGGUUUUCCCUUCGGCACAUCUGGUUCAGGGUUGUUAAAAAUUAAAACUAUUGUUGUAUACAUGUACAUAUGGUAAUCACGUAUUCUUUACGCAUAAUGAAAGAAUGCACGACAUUGAUUGUCGAACGGCGUUCUGCGUUUUUUACGUGUGUAUGUUCAUGUUUCGACUAUUUGUCAAACGGUAACGUCAAUUUGCUACACUGUUCCCGUUUUAGUGAAGAAUGAGAUAAUAGCUACAUGUAAUAAUUAUAUAUGAAUUAUUACAUAAAAUGUAAUACGUGAUCAUAAUGUGCUUGUAUGCUAGCGAUGUCAUUGCUACCGUCGUCGAUGCUGAUUUUCAAUGAGUGUCGUUGAGAAUCGUGAAAUCAAAGAAAUAAUCAUCGAACGAUGGAUGAAUGAAUGAAUGAAAUGUAUUUCAUAUGGUAAUGACGAGAAAUGCUACACAUAUUGCGAAUCGCACAUAGUUUUAGCGUAUUGCAUUUAAUUCUCAACGAAUACAACCUGAACUCAGACGUGAUAACCCGCUGAACUUAAGC